GAUGAACGCUAGCGGCAGGCUUAAUACAUGCAAGUCGAGGGGCAACAGGGGGUAGCAAUACCUGCUGGCGACCGGCAAACGGGUGCGGAACACGUACAGAACCUUCCUUUAAGCGGGGGAUAGCCCAUAGAAAUGUGGAUUAAUACCCCAUAGUAAUGUUGUCUGGCAUCAGAUGAUAUUUAAAGAUUUAUCACUUAAAGAUGGCUGUGCGGCUGAUUAGGUAGNGGUGUGGGUAACGGCCCACCAAGCCAGCGAUCAGUAACUGGUGUGAGAGCACGACCAGUCACACGGGCACUGAGACACGGGCCCGACUCCUACGGGAGGCAGCAGUAAGGAAUAUUGGUCAAUGGACGCAAGUCUGAA
rnacentral:rRNA from 1 species